rnacentral:rRNA from 1 species
UACGUAGGGUGCGAGCGUUAAUCGGAAUUACUGGGCGUAAAGCGUGCGCAGGCGGUUCGUUGUGUCGGCGGUGAAAGCCCCGGGCUCAACCUGGGAAUGGCCGUUGAAACUGGCGAACUGGAGUGUGGCAGAGGGGGGUGGAAUUCCGCGUGUAGCAGUGAAAUGCGUAGAGAUGCGGAGGAACACCGAUGGCGAAGGCAGCCCCCUGGGCUGACACUGACGCUCAGGCACGAAAGCGUGGGGAGCAACAGG